UCCCUCACUUUAUAACCAGCCUAUAAGAAGCCCAAUAGACCAUCCCCUCAAUCUUGCUUGCGGUUUUUGUGUGUAGCCCAAACCGAGAUCCCAUUGCCUUUUUUCUAUACCUGCGGCCCAACUCAAGACCACCGCCCACCUCCCUUAUCUCUGUUUUAUAGUUACGUACCAUGCAUUAUUUUAUCAUCACAACUCCAAAACACUUAAACCCUAAUUUACAAGCAUCGCACGCCGCGGUUCCUUCUCUUCGGUGCUCUCUCUCGCUCGCAUCACACUCUCUCUUACGGCAUGUCUACCUCAACAUCAUCCUUAUCAUCAGAUCAGCCACGGGCGCCAAGGAAGGCACCCGCAGUUAUACGCACACCUCCGCGUCAAGUAGAGACGCGUUCUGCUUAUCAUAAGAGACUUGCUCGGGGUGGGGAGUCUUCUUCCCGACCUACCCAUGCGGUACCAGUUAAUCCAAUUAGCGCCCAGUCCGAGUCUGCAGUGAUGAAAGCCCUUAGGGAAUAUAACCAAUUUUUUAUACAGCAAAAUCAGACCUUGUUAGAACGGAAUCAAUUCUUGCUGAAACAAGUUACUACUCUGGAAAGGCGGGUAGAAUCCCAAGGAGAGCAGCUUCAGGUGCUCUUUGAGAGAACCGAUGAGUUGAAGCAUGAAGCCUUGGCGGAUGAAGAUUCGGAGGGGGGAGACAGCGGAGUCGACGACUGACCCGCUUUCCACUUGUUUAUCUAUCUAUUUCUUUUGUUUUGUGUAAACAAUCGUGAUGUUUUAAAUGUUUGCGGAAAUACAUUGUAGCGACUUUUACGAUUUAUUUUGAUCAAUUUUUUUUUUAUUAUUUUAAAUACGUUUCUUGUGCUGAGUCGUUACCCUACCCUAAAUUGCAUGUUUUGAAAGCUUGUACAAUGAUUGUAUGAUACCUUGUCUCGUAUAAUCGUGCGUAUGUCAACAGAAUGUCUCGUCCUAACGAUGAACCUCUCACUAUUCAUGGUGACAAGAGUGGUGCUGUUGUGGGCAUCAUCUCGUUCCUUAAGGCCCAGAAGUGUCUGCGAAAGGGCCACACUACCAUUCUAGCCCUUGUUACCGAUACUCCAACGAAAGAGAAGAAGAUUGAAGACAUCCCGAUCGUACGCGACUUUCCAGAGGCAUUUCCUGGGAAUUACCUGGUCUACCGCUUCAUCGCCAAGUCGAGUUUCAAAUCGAGCUAACUGUAACAACCCGACUCUUCGGGUCAUUACUUAGAUCUGUCAUUUAUUGCUUAAUUGACUUGUACUCUCGGGAUAUUGAUUAUCGCUACGGGUUAACUGUUUUAAACUAUGUUUUCAAACGCAUAUUACAACGAUUAUUCAAAACGCAGUUAUCAUAUUUAAACGCUACUCACAAUGCAUACUAUUUACACGCAUUUUACCGCAUGUUACAUCGCAUGUUAUUACUAAACCCUAUCGCAACGCACUCUCAACGCAACUCGAAACGCGGAAUUACUUUUAUGCAUUUUAGUUGUAUUGUGUGUAGAUUAUGUGAUUAUUUGGUUAUAUUGGCUAUAUGUUUUGUGGUUGUCAACGCAACGAUUACACGCUUACUCGCAACUCGCUUAAACGCAACGCAACGCUUAACGAACGAAACGAAAGUUGGAAACUAACUCGCACGAACACGGCUGUCCGAAUGGACAUCCGGUCGAAUGGACAUCCGUUCGGAUGACCAUCCCAUCCGAUCGGAUGGCCAUCCGACCGGACGCCCAUCCGACCCAAUGUCACUCUCUUGGGCCACCUUACCUUUUCUCUCACAUCUAUAAAUACCUCCCACGCACCACUGUUCACUGAUGUGACAGCUCCAUCCGACCAACUCGCUCCCAAGUCAUUCUCAAGCACUUUUCUCUCGAUUCAAGGCUAUUUCAAAUUUAAAAGAUGGAGAAAUACAGGUCUCGAUCAUGUCGGGAUGAUGGGCUGACAGAUAACGGGGAGUUUCCACGCAACAUGAAGAAUUUAAGGAGUUACACCACUUGGAACCGAGACACAAAGAAACCAACUUCGAAUUCGAAGAAUUGGAGCCUGAGUGAUCCUGAGUUGCAAAGGAAGAAAAGGGUUGCUUCCUAUAGAGUUUACUCAAUGGAGAGCAAAAUGAAGGGGUCUUUCAAGAAGAGUUUUGGGUGGAUCAAACAUACUUACACCCACCUUCUCUAUGGCUAUAGGUGAAUUUGUCGACCUCUAUCGUCGCCUUCAAAAGAGACUCAAACAUGUGAUUGUAUGAUAACGCGUAGUUAUUUUGAUUUAACGAUGAUUUAUUAUUCUGUUUCGUGAUGAAAGACAUGUAAUCAUGUUAUUAACAAUGGUGUAUGCUAAGAUUGUGAUGAUGUUUGAAAUUUAAAUGAUCAUUCACCAAGUUUGAUUUUCA